rnacentral:rRNA from 1 species
UCAGGCCUAACACAUGCAAGUCGAACGAGAAAGUUUCUUCGGAAGCGAGUACAGUGGCGCACGGGUGAGUAACACGUAGGUGACCUGCCCUUUUGCGGGGGAUAACUUCGGGAAACCGAGGCUAAUACCCCAUAAGCUAAAUGAAUUGAAAAACAUUUAGGAAAGAUGACCUCUAUUUAUAAGUUAUCACAGAAGGAAGGGCCUGCGGGACAUUAGCUAGUUGGUGGGGUAAAGGCUUACCAAGGCGAUGAUGUCUAGCUGGUUUGAGAGAACGACCAGCCACACUGGAACUGAGACACGGUCCAGACUCCUACGGGAGGCAGCAGUAGGGAAUAUUGCGCAAUGGAGGAAACUCUGACGCAGCAAGACCGCGUGAGGGAGGAAGGUCUUCGGAUU